rnacentral:lncRNA from 1 species
AAAUGUUUAUAUUUGCUAUAUUUUAUCUAAGGAAUCAAGAAUUGUCAGAGGGAGAUGAAUUUGAUAAAUCAUCUGACUGCGGUAAGUCUUUUACAGAAAAUGUAAUAGAAAGGCUAAAAAGAUCUCAAAUAGCUAAACAUGAGCGUUUACAAAGAUGGUCAAAUCAAGAAACUGUGAGUGUUAAAAAAGAAUGUGUUACAGUUGAAAAAGAAGAUAAUUU